GACGAACGCUGGCGGCGUGCCUAAUACAUGCAAGUCGAGCGGAUUGAUGGGAGCUUGCUCCCUGAUAUCAGCGGCGGACGGGUGAGUAACACGUGGGCAACCUGCCUAUAAGACUGGGAUAACUUCGGGAAACCGGAGCUAAUACCGGAUAUUUCCUUUCCUCACAUGGGGGAAGGCCAAAAGAUGGUUUACGCUAUCACUUAUAGAUGGGCCCGCGGCGCAUUAGCUA
rnacentral:rRNA from 1 species